UACGUGGGGGGCUAGCGUUGUCCGGAAUUAUUGGGCGUAAAGAGCUCGUAGGCGGUUUGUCACGUCUGCUGUGAAAACUGGAGGCUCAACCUCCAGCCUGCAGUGGGUACGGGCAGACUAGAGUGCGGUAGGGGAGAUUGGAAUUCCUGGUGUAGCGGUGGAAUGCGCAGAUAUCAGGAGGAACACCGAUGGCGAAGGCAGAUCUCUGGGCCGUAACUGACGCUGAGGAGCGAAAGCAUGGGGAGCGAACAGG
rnacentral:rRNA from 1 species